rnacentral:tRNA from 2 species
AGUGGAGGGCAGGGGCGUGACACUUUUGGCUGUUUUCGCCCCCGAUAGGGCCUCUGGAAAUGUCACGCACGAUUGACAUCGCUACUCUUCCUCCGGCCUGUCACGCCGGAGGUCGCGGGUUCGAGCCCCGUCACUCCCGCCA